GGGGAUGUGGUGGACUUGGUAGACACGAGAGACUUAAAAUCUCUUGGCUAUAGCAGCCGUGCCGGUUCGAUUCCGGCCGUCCCUACCA
rnacentral:tRNA from 1 species